rnacentral:tmRNA from 1 species
GGGGAUGCUUAGGUUUCGACAGAAAUAUUUAGGAUUAAAUUGCAAGUGGAAGGUACGCCUUAAGUACAAAAAAAAAUAAACGCAAACAAAGUAAAAAAUGCAUUUGCUUCAAUGUUCACUAAGAACGCUGUAGCAUUCGCCUAAUUAGAAUAAAGGCAUGCGCUUCUUUUAAUUUUUUUCCUAUUGGAAUUUAAAGAGGCUCGAUUAAAAUAGGAUAUAUUAUUAUCUAGUCUUGAGGUAAUAAUGAAUUUAAAAGACUUACUAAAUGAUUAGUUGUUCACUACUUAGAUUAUUUAGGACAUUAAAUAGUGAACUAAACUUGUAGAUAUUUCUUCUCACGUAUUUUUGGACAGGAGUUCGAUUCUCCUCAUCUCCACCA